UAUAUUUGUAAACUGAAAAAGGCUGCUAACUCUUUUCCACAAGUAUUAUUUUAUCCUAUCUUUUUUCCUUCAUUCAUGCAGUAAAACUAUUAUGACGCUUGAGAAUGGUAGAGUUGCAGCUGAAAUUCACUGAGGAGUCUGGAUAUAUUUCGGCACAGGUUAUAUAUCUGUGACUAAUUUUAAGAACGACGACUGAGAGAAAUACAGAAAGCAGGAUUAAACAUAGAAGCUGAGCUGCAGUGAUGUUGCAGCAGAGGCGUCAGCCAAUCCAUUUGUAAGCACUGAGCCUUGGUGGCCUUUCAGAGUUUUCCACUUCAGAAAAGAGGAGAGAAAAUACUGGAGAGGGAUUCAGCUGUAUCCCAUUUAACCAAUAUUCCUGACAUCUGACAAAAUGAUUGCCUCACUCCUGAAGAAGUUUCUGGAUGGUGAAUCACAUCAUUACUAUG
rnacentral:lncRNA from 1 species